rnacentral:rRNA from 1 species
CCUACGGGAGGCAGCAGUGGGGAAUAUUGCGCAAUGGGCGAAAGCCUGACGCAGCGACGCCGCGUGAGGGAUGAAGGUCUUCGGAUUGUAAACCUCUUUUAGUAGGGAAGAACGUUCACUGUUCUAAUCAGCAGUGACUUGACGGUACCUGCAAAGGAAGCACCGGCAAACUCCGUGCCAGCAGCUGCGGCAAUACGGAGGGUGCGAGCGUUAAUCGGAAUUACUGGGCGUAAAGCGCUCGUAGGCGGUAUGUCAAGUCAAGGGUGAAAUCCCAGCGCUGAACGUGGGAACUGCAUUUGAAACUGGCAGACUGGAGUAUGUGAGAGGAUGGUGGAAUUCCAGGUGUAGGAGUGAAAUCCGUAGAUAUCUAGAGGAACAUCAGUGGCGAAGGCGACUAUCUAGAACAUAACUGACGCUGAGGAGCGAAAGCGUGGGUAGCAAACAGGAUCAGAUACCCGAGUAGUC